rnacentral:rRNA from 1 species
UACGUAGGGUGCAAGCGUUAAUCGGAAUUACUGGGCGUAAAGCGUGCGCAGGCGGUUGUGCAAGACAGAUGUGAAAUCCCCGGGCUUAACCUGGGAACUGCAUUUGUGACUGCACGGGCUAGAGUGUGUCAGAGGGGGGUAGAAUUCCACGUGUAGCAGUGAAAUGCGUAGAUAUGUGGAGGAAUACCGAUGGCGAAGGCAGCCCCCUGGGAUAACACUGACGCUCAUGCACGAAAGCGUGGGGAGCAAACAGG